UACGUAGGGGGCAAGCGUUGUCCGGAGUUACUGGGCGUAAAGCGCACGCAGGCGGUCUCUUAAGUUUGGAGUGACAGUCGGUGGCUUAACUGCCAAAGUGCUUCGAAAACUGAGAGACUUGAGGGCUUCAGAGGGACACGGAAUUCCGGGUGGAGUGGUGAAAUGCGUAGAGAUCCGGAGGAACACCAAAGGCGAAGGCAGUGUCCUGGGGAGUACCUGACGCUCAGGUGCGAAAGCCAGGGGAGGCGAACGGG
rnacentral:rRNA from 1 species